GGUGGCUCAGUGGUAGAGUGCUUGUCUUGCAUGCAUGAGGCCUUGGGUUCGACUCCUCAACACCA
rnacentral:tRNA from 1 species